AACAGGAUAUCCUCUGCAGGUG
rnacentral:misc_RNA from 1 species